rnacentral:lncRNA from 1 species
GUAUAGUUUAAAAAAUGUUCCCAGAUAAAUUAUUUAAACCACUUUAAAAGGUAAAAAGAAAAAAAUAAAACAAACAAUAAUCAGUUUUUAAAUUGUAAAUUUUGGUUUUUUCUUUUAAUUUAUAUUAUGAUAAAAAAAAAAAAAAAAAAAAAAAAAUUGACAAUGUACAAUUAUUAUGUUUUUGUAAAUUAGUAAAAUUAUAUUAUUCAUUACAAUUUUUUUUUUUUUAUUUUUCAAAUAUUUAAAGUAAAAAAGUGAAAAGUGAUUAAAAAAAAAAAAAAAAAAAAAAAAAAAUUUGUCAUAAACAAUAAAAAAAGAGGGUGAAACAACAUUUAAAAAUUGUGCUACGUUGUGAUCUCAAGCAUAUUAUACAGUGAGCACUUAUAAAAAUGUGGCAAAUACGUUUAUUACUACAUCAUUUAAAGUAAUCCUUUAUAAAAUUUAAUGGAAAAAAAGAAAAAAAAAAAUAACAUAAUAAAAUAUAACGUCACAGUAUAUAUAUAUAUAUAUAUAUUUAUACAUACAUGUAAAUAUAUUGGCAAUGUGGCAAAAUGAAACUUGAUAAAAAAAAGGAUUUUAAAAAAAAAUUAGUUAACUGCUGCUCUCUGCUACAAGCCCCUGAACCUCUAAAAAUUAUUGUUGAUGAAUCUUUUAUUAAUUUAUGUAUUACUUAUAAAAUUUCAUUUAAAGAUGAAUUAAAUAAACUAAUAAACAGGCAAAUAACAAUUAUGACUACUCAAUGUAUUACCCAAUGCGCUAAAAAAAAAGAACUUGACGAAUCGGCUUAUAGUUUAAGAAAAAUAACAUAUUUUAAGUGUAAUCAUAAUGAAAGUAAUAUUGAAAAAUCAGUUGAUAUAUUUUUAGAAAAAAUGACAAAACGAAAAAAUAAUUACAUAUCUUUAUAUGAAAAUUUUUUCGAAAACAAAGUCAAAGUGACUCAUGAUUUUGAUACUAUAAAAAAUAUAAAACCUUCAAUUUCUGUAAAUGACACAAAAUCAAUAAUACAGGAUAAAAAUAUUAAAACAGUAGGAAACAUAAAUAAAAGCGAAACUGAAAUAGAGCAAAAAGAAGUGAAUGAAAACAACAAUGACGAAGAAGAAGCAAAACAAGAACAUAUCGAGGUGAAAAAUGAGAAACAAGAAAAUGAACAGGGUUUAACAGACUCAAUGAAAUGUAUUAUAGAUUUAGUUAAAAAUAAUAAUGAACAAAAAUUUUUUAUUGCUACAAAUAAUAGUCAUUUACGAUCAUUUUUAAGGAACAUAUUCAUAGUACCAAUAAUUUAUGUGAACGACAGUGGAGUAAUUAAAUUAGAAAAUAUAUCAACAAAAAACAUGAACAAAAAAGAAAAAUUCGAAAUGAGAAAAUUUAAGAUGCCUAAAUGGGAAAGAGAAUUAAAAAUGAAUGAACAAC